GGGAUAUUGGUCAAGUGGUUAAGAUUCUCGCUUAGGGUGCGAGAGGUCCCGUGUUCGAUUCACGGAUGUCCCC